GAUUGAUGGGGAUGGUUGGGGGCAUUUGUAUUUAACUGUCAGAGGUGAAAUUCUUGGAUUUGUUAAAGACAAACUAAUGCGAAUGCAUUUGCCAAGGAUGUCUUCUUUAAUCAAGAACGAAAGUUAGGGGAUCGAAGACGAUUAGAUACCGUCCUAGUCUUAACCAUAAACUAUGCUACCAAGAAAUUGGAGGCGGUUGCCUGUUGAUUCCUUCGGCAUUUUUUGAGAAAUCAAAGUCUUUGAGUUCCAGGGGGAGUAUGGUCGCAAGACUGAAACUUAAAGGAAUUGACGGAAGGGCACCACCAGGAGUGGAGCCUGCGGCUUAAUUUGACUCAACACGGGGAAACUCACCAAGUCCAGACAUAGUAAGGAUUGACAGAUUGAUAGCUCUUUCUUGAUUCUGUGGGUGGUGGUGAUGGCCGUUCUUA
rnacentral:rRNA from 1 species